UUAAAGUAGUAAGGGCGCAGGGUGGAUGCCUUGGCACUAAGAGCCGAUGAAAGACGUGAUAAGCUGCGAAAAGCUUCGGGGAGGAGCACAUAUCCAAUGAUCCGGAGAUAUCUGAAUGGGGAAACCCGGCAGAGGAAACCUCUGUCAGCGUGCAGUGAAUACAUAGCUGUACGUGGGGAACCCGGGGAACUGAAACAUCUAAGUACCCGGAGGAAGAGAAAGAAAAUUUAUCGAUUUCCAAAGUAGCGGCGAGCGAAAUGGAAAGAGCCCAAACCGUGAUGCGUGCAUCGCGGGGUUCGGACUGCGUUGUGGCAGACGUAAGAUAGGAGAACGGACUGGGAAGUCCGGCCGGAGAGAGUGAAAGCCUCGUAUCCGAAAUCCCAAGUCGCCUAGCAGGAUCCAGAGUAGGACGAGACACGAGAAACCUUGUCUGAACGAGCGGGGACCACCCCGUAAGGCUAAAUACUUCUUAGUGACCGAUAGCGCAUAGUACUGUGAAGGAAAGGUGAAAAGUACCCCGGGAGGGGAGUGAAAGAGAACCUGAAACCCUGUGUCUACAAGCUGUGGGACCUCUUUAUAUGAGGGACUGCGUACUUUUUGUAGAACGGUCCGGCGAGUUGUGCGUACUGGCGAGGUUAAGGACUUAAGGUCUGGAGCCGAAGUGAAAGCAAGCGUUAAUAGCGCGUCAAGUCAGUGAGUGCAGACCCGAAACCGGGUGACCUAUCCAUGUCCAGGUUGAAGCUUCCGUAAGAGGAAGUGGAGGACCGAACCCACAUCCGUUGAAAAGGGUGGGGAUGAGGUGUGGAUAGCGGAGAAAUUCCAAUCGAACCCGGAGAUAGCUGGUUCUCCUCGAAAUAGCUUUAGGGCUAGCCUCAUGAGAGUCUUAUGGAGGUAGAGCACUGAAUUGCCUAGGGGGCGUCAAAGCUUACCAAAGCAUAUCAAACUCCGAAUGCCAUCAAGAUGAUUCAUGGGAGUCAGACCAUACGAGAUAAGUUGGAUGGUCAAAAGGGAAAGAGCCCAGACCUACAGCUAAGGUCCCAAAGUACGUGUUAAGUGGAAAAGGAUGUGGGGAUUCUAAGACAACUAGGACGUUGGCUUAGAAGCAGCCAUUCAUUGAAAGAGUGCGUAAUAGCUCACUAGUCGAGAGUCCCUGCGCCGAAAAUGUCCGGGGCUGAAACACGACACCGAAGCUUAGGAAUGUGUAAACAUUGGUAGAGGAGCAUUGCUGGCGGGAUGAAGCCAUACCGUAAGGAGUGGUGGACUGCCAGGAAGAGAGAAUGCCGGAAUGAGUAGCGAGAUGAAGGUGAGAAUCCUUCAGGCCGAAUAUCUAAGGUUUCCAGAGUAAAGCUGAUCUGCUCUGGGUAAGUCGGGACCUAAGGCGAGGUCGAAAGACGUAGUCGAUGGAUAACAGGUUGAAAUUCCUGUACCGCAUAUAAACAGAACUGUGGGGACACAGACAGGGAAUGGAAUCCGGGAAUGGAUAUCCCGGUGCAAGCGAGGUAGGAGUGCUGUUGGCAAAUCCGCAGCACGAUCUGAAGACGUGACGCGUACCGAACAUAAGUAGGGAAGUCCAGGCCCCUGGCUGUCAAGAAAAGCCGCUAUCGUUUUAUAUGUGCCCGUACCGCAAACCGACACAGGUGGAUGAGGAGAGAAUCCUAAGGCCGACGGGAGAAGUAUUGUUAAGGAACUCGGCAAAAUGACUCCGUAACUUCGGGAGAAGGAGUGCCAUGAGAGUGGCCGCAGAGAAAUGGCCCAAGCAACUGUUUAGCAAAAACACAGGUCUAUGCAAAACCGCAAGGUGAAGUAUAUGGGCUGACGCCUGCCCGGUGCUGGAAGGUUAAGGGGAGAGGUUAGCGCAAGCGAAGCUUUGAACUUAAGCCCCAGUAAACGGCGGCCGUAACUAUAACGGUCCUAAGGUAGCGAAAUUCCUUGUCGGGUAAGUUCC
rnacentral:rRNA from 1 species